rnacentral:snRNA from 1 species
AUACUUACCUGGACGGGGUCUACGAGCGAUCAAGAACGCUUAUGACCUAGGUUAACAGCCUCCAUUGCACUUGAAAGGAGCGCUAGCUUACCGUCUCCUCUAAGGAGCGACGUCACAAUUUGUGGCUGAGAGUUAUGUGUUCGUGCGGCCUCUAU